ACUUGCAGUUGUUAGUUUGUGGGGCCAUGUAACAGGGAGAACACCAAUCUUGUGGGGCCCAGCAACCUUGUGGGGCCCAAAAUGAGGGACCCCACUAGAAUGAUCAUCAUAUAUGGGCUCACAAGCCUCCCCUGACAUGCCUGUCGCUUUUUUAGCACAUGUCUCACAAAGUCAGAAAGUAUGGAAAAGUGUGUGUGAUGUGUGUGUGGAUUUUUUACUCACUAGUGCCCCAAGUGUUGGAAAGGUGGUAUAACAUCACACACACACACUUCCUGGUGUGUGUAAGGGUUCAGCCAAUGAGGGGCCACUAUGAAAUCUCGCGAGAUUUUUCGUGAAGUCAUUAGCGAUAUCUCAUGUCUCAGCAUACCAAAGCCAUGCAGUGUUGGCUGCUCAACUGGGAACUUUGCAGAGAAUAAGGUGACAAACUAUGAGGCCCCUGCUGUGGCUAUAGAGACAGAAGACACCCUUUCAAAUCUGUCUUCCCAUGAGGAAUCCAAUGGAGAGGAAGCCAUAGCCCAGGUAAACAAACUGCUAUCAAAAGAACCUGGACACCCGAGGAAGCGGCAGCGGUGAACCGGCAUCUACGGAGAUGCAUUACCAUGAACAGUGUUCCAGGCAAAGAGGAGUGUCAACAGUGCAUUAAUGCAGACCCUGAAGCUCUCCGAAUGCGAGACUGGAAGGCAUAUAGAAUCACUACUUUGAGACGAAAGUAUAAGUGUGAACUUGCUGAUGCACCGUCAUAUUGACAGUGUUAACAGUCUCUUCUUGUGAGGCCUCUUUGUAGGCAAUGAUAAAGUUAAUCUUGUCCCAGUGACUUUUAUUUCUGAACACUGAACAAUUGUCCAAUGAGUAACUGAAACUAUUCCGCGCCCCCACAAUCAAACGCCCGCAUGGGGAGAUUUUAGCUUUUACUUUACUAAGUUAAUAAAGACAAGAGAACAUAUUAUGUGUUAAGGAGUUUAUUUUAUGCAAUGUCGUUUGAGAAAUGGUACUAGGAAAGCGUUGAGUAGUGUUGAGCUGGAGUUCAUUAUAUUAAUGAAAUUUAAUGCCCCAUAUACCUUAUGAUGAUCUUUGGUUACAAUGACAUCGAGCCCUACAAUGUCUUUGAUAAGCAACAAAAAAUAUGUAAACAUGUUAUUUCCAUCAGAAGACAUUGUGUCUUGCGAAGAUACAAAGUCUAGAAAUGGUUGUCUAGUCUAAGAUAUUAAAACUAGGAUUGUGUAUGUGUGUGUGAAAGAGGGACUCGCAAGUUUUGAAUGUUAGAAACAGAACCCCACAAAGUGACAAAAAAACUAGCAAGAGAAAAAAAGUUCUGAAUUUUAACAAAUUAAAGUGAUGGUAAUUAUAUAGAUUUUUUUUUCAUCUUACUGGAUUUUUUACAAUGUUGUAGCACUGCCAGAAAGGGUGGAUCCCACAUUUGGGUAAAAUAAGUUCGGGCCCUACAAAGGAGGAACACGAGUAUGUGUGUGUGUGUGUGUGUG